UACGGAGGAUCCGAGCGUUAUCCGGAUUUAUUGGGUUUAGAGGGUGCGCAGGUUGUUUGAUAAGUCAGUGGUGAAAGUCUGUCGCUUAACGGUAGGAUUGCCAUUGAUACUGUUGGACUUGAAUAUGGAUGAGGUAGGCGGAAUGUGUAGUGUAGCGGUGAAAUGCAUAGAUAUUACACAGAACACCGAUUGCGAAGGCAGCUUACUAAUCCAUCAUUGACGCUGAGGCACGAAAGCGUGGGGAUCAAACA
rnacentral:rRNA from 1 species